CUGGAUAGCACUUGAAGAUAAUGAGAAGUCUGAGACUGUGGCAAUCAUAACUAUGAAAUAUAUAACAGCAGUAGCCGAUGAAGAUGUAAUACAUAUCAUGAAAUAUUGGAGGAUAAUUCAAAUCUGCAAAGCAAUCUGUUUUUCAUUUCAAGUGUUGAGCCUAUGUAAGCCAUAACUUACCCAGGUAUUACUCAUGUGGGAAAUAACUUCAAAUUUAGCACAACUCAUAGAACAAAAAAGGAAGAACACAAAGGAUAUAACGUCCAUUGUCUCCCUACCCCCACUGUGAAGAAAAGGACUUUGUGCAGAAAAACAUGCUCACUGCUUGGAGAGUGAGUGAUCCAGAAGUAGUAACAACUGGAGCGUGCUAUGGAAAGGGAUCUUGGUCAUGUUCCUGUGCCUACUCAGAAGGAGCAGCAAUCUAUCAUUCAACAGAUAUUUUUAUUUUCCUUGAUCCCACUGAUAAAAUCUACGCAAUCUCAACAUUACUUAUAGCAAACUUGUCCUCUCAAAAACACCACUCAGGAUACUUCUUGCUAGAGCACAGAUAA
rnacentral:lncRNA from 1 species